UACGUAGGUGGCAAGCGUUGUCCGGAAUUAUUGGGCGUAAAGCGCGCGCAGGCGGCUUCUUAAGUCUGAUGUGAAAUCUCGGGGCUCAACCCCGAGCGGCCAUUGGAAACUGGGAAGCUUGAGUACAGAAGAGGAGAGUGGAAUUCCACGUGUAGCGGUGAAAUGCGUAGAUAGUGUGGAGGAACACCAGUGGCGAAGGCGACUCUCUGGUCUGUAACUGACGCUGAGGCGCGAAAGCGUGGGGAGCAAACAGG
rnacentral:rRNA from 1 species